rnacentral:rRNA from 1 species
CCCCUAGAGGAGCCUGUUCUAUAAUCGAUAAUCCACGAUCUACCUCACCAUCUCUUGCCAAUACCGCCUAUAUACCGCCGUCACCAGCCUACCCUAUGAAGGAUAUAAAAGUAGGCAAAAUCGCACAACAGCUAACAAGUCAGGUCAAGGUGUAGCUUACUGAGAUGGAAGAAAUGGGCUACAUUUUCUAAACUAGAAAUCAUUUCACGGGAAGAACUAUGAAACAAGUUCUAUAAGCAGGAUUUAGCAGUAAAUAGGGAUCAGAAUGCCCAAUUUAAGCCGGUCCUAAGGUACGC